UACGGCUACUGUUUUGCUACCAGCUGCAUUGGAAACUGUGAUUUGAUAUUCUCCAGUGUCUCUCCUUAAGCAGUUCUUAAUGGUGACGGUUGGAGGAGGCUUUCCAGACACAUAGGCAAUGAUUCGGAUCACUCCUCCAGCAUGGACGACAAUUCUAUCUCUGACACUGGCAUCUAGCUGAAGGUCAGGUAAAACUGGAAGCAAUUGAAAAUUACAAAUGUGAUUUUUCCCCCUUAAAUAUGAAACAUAAAUACUGAUGGCAUAAAAGGAGGAUUGAUAAUUACCAAGUCUAUCUUUCAUUUCAAUGACAUCUGUGACCUCUCCAGGUUCUCCAAUGCCAGCAAUGUUGACUGCUCUAACUCUAAAUUUGUAGAAUGCUCCUUCCUUUAAUCCUGUCACAACAAGCUUUGUUCCUCUCACUUCUUUAUCUUUACCCUGGGGAGAAAUCAUAAACAUUUUAAAAUUAGAAUAGUCAUCUGUAGCUUCUUGCUUUAAUGACUUCCUAAAGCAUCACCAGCAGCCUAACUGUUUACUCUGGGAAAAUUGUUGCUGGUUUAGGUUUCAGGGAUCAGAUACUACAGGCAACACUGAAUGGAAUAACUUGGCAGGAGUUAUGCUUUAACAUUAUUGUCAAACAAUUAAACCUUUAUUUAUUUAUUCCACAUUCCAGGAUUUAUAACCAAAAGAUUAGUAAUAUCAUGACUUAACUUUUGAUUAGAUUUCUGACAUUAACAGACAUUUGGAAUUUGAGUUAAAAUUAUGCUAUUUUCCUGAUUUCUUAAUCCAAAAAACAUAGACAGAAGUUAAUGUUUUAGUUUAUUCAUAGUGCAUUUCCUUAGUGCCAAGUUUUCCUACCUUUUCCCAUUCUUCUUUUCCUUCUUCUUUAUAUUCAACGAUAUAUCCAGUUACUUUGGAUCCACCAUCUUUUAGUGGGGGAGACCACUCCAGAUCUGCAGAUGAUUUAGUCCAAUCUGUCACUUUGGGAAAUGGAGGACCAGGAGGAGCUGGAAAGAGCCAGUAUACAUUAGUAUUCUUGACUUUCCCAAGGCACUUUUGGAAAAUAAGAUUUUAAAAAAGGAAUGGUUUCAAGGCUUACCAAUUGGAUCUCUAGCAGUCACUGGGUCUGAUGGCAGACUUGCUGGACCCACACCAGCAGCAUUGAUUGCAUAUACCCGGAAUUGAUAGUCAGAACCUUCAAUAAGACCAGUCACUUUAUAAGAAACACCCAGAGUCAUGGCUUUGAUAGGAUCUCGGUUAACUCUCUUCCAUCUCUUUGAAGUAGUGUCUUUCAUUUCCAGCCAGUACCCCGUCACAGGAGAGCCUCCAUCAUAUUCUGGCUCUUCCCAGUUGACGGUCAUGGAGUUACGAGUCACGCUGCUAACUGUUGGUUUAUCUGGUGCUCCAGGGACAGCUGUGAAAAAGAUCAUAUUGAUUAUAAGAAAUUUUUUUGAAAAAGUAAAAAUGACUUUGUUUGUGAAAAUGUUGUCCUACUUACAGAAGAGGUUUCUUGCUGUUUCAGGUUCACUGUCAAGAGGUUCUCCAAUGCCAUAUUUAUUCUGGGCCAUGAUUCGGAAUACGUAUUCAUGGCCUUCUAGCAAUUUGGGAAUCGUGUACGUGCACUCUUUAGGUUCACUGGAGACACGGACCCAUGUCUUCCUGUUAGCUUCUCUUUUCUCAAUUACAUAGUUUGUAAUCUUAGACCCACCAUCAUCUUUAGGUGGAAGCCAAGACAGUGUCAUUUGCUCUGCUGAAACAGAUUCAAAUUUUAUGGGUCCCACUGGGGGACCAGGACGACCUAAAAUGGUUUAAAGAAGGAACCCUUUAUCAGUCAGAUGAUUUUAAAGCCAAAUGUUAUUUAUGAACAGAAAAACAAGUAGUUUUAACCAAACCAUGCAAUCUUUACCCAGGACAUUCAGUCUCAUCUCCUUUGAUGCUGUUCCCAGAUUAUUUACAGCUGUGAUGGUAUAUAAGCCAGUGUCACUCCUGCGAGACUGUGGAAUAACUAAAGUGCAAGUAUCAUCCACCACCAGUUUGUUGACAUGAGUGUCAUAGAGAACAGGUUCUUUGUUAUCAGGCUUCUUUGGAGGAGCUUUAAACCAGGUUAGUGUUGGGAAUGGCACACCUUUAAUUUUGGCCACAAUGUUAACAUCAGUUCCUUCUUCAACCUCCAUGAAUUCUGUUAGAUCAAUUGAUGGUGGGCCUAGAUUAUUGAAAAAAAGUUAUCGUUACGAGCAAAAAGCAUUGAGGGAUAGAAAGUAGAAUUCACAGUGACUAUAAAGCUGUUUGAAUCCACCGUAGUCAGACUUUGUAGCUCAGCCCAAUGUAAAGAAUGGUUCUGUCUUUAACACUAUUACACUGGUUUGGGGAGCAGGUACACAGGGAGCUAUAUGUGACUGUAUAUCAGGGCUUGCCUCUCUUUAUUUGGCAUCAUUAUGCAUGUAAUGAUGCAUAUUAUUAUAUUCUCAUAUCCUGACAAAAGGGAAGAGAGGAGAUUGUAGUAGGAGAGUAUCAUGGGACACUCUCUAAUGUUUAUGCAGAAUUAUGAAGGGAUACAUAAGAAGGUGAAUUCCCCUUUUAAGAAAUAUAACUGUUAAUAAAAGGGAAGGAAUUUUCCAUUUUGCUCAAAUUUAGGACAGAAAUAUUCAAAGAGGGUAGCAACUACAGUUUCUUUACACUUAGAUGAGAGAAUAAACAGAUACACAACAGUAGUGAUGGUAAUUAUCAGAGGAAGAAUUAUUACCAUAUAUAUUAUAUAUACUUCAUUAAAAUGGAUAUAUCUUUUCUCAUAUAGAGAAAUAGAAACUUGAUUGUGAAGAUAAAUGGGUCUCAGCAGUUGCUAAGCAAAUGACUAGUUACUUUCUGUCCCUUUUGAGGAGCAUGCAGAGAAAUUGCUUUAACCUCUGAUAAGUAAAACAGCCUGCCAUGGAGAAAAUUACAGCGAGGAAAUUACAGACAUCAUCUCCUUUGAAUAGAGAAAAAUUAACAGGAACUACUUACAGAUUGGAUCAUGUGCUGUUUUGGGAUCUGAAGGUGGACUGAACUUUCCAGGUCCAGCUGCAUUUUCAGCACAUACUCUGAAGACAUAG